UGGGGAAUAUUGCACAAUGGGCGCAAGCCUGAUGCAGCAACGCCGCGUGAAUGAUGAAGGCCUUCGGGUCGUAAAGUUCUGUCCAAAGGGAAGAAUACAGUGACGGUACCUUUGGAGGAAGCCCCGGCUAACUACGUGCCAGCAGCCGCGGUAAUACGUAGGGGGCAAGCGUUAUCCGGAAUCACUGGGCGUAAAGGGAGCGUAGGCGGUUUGACAAGCCAGGGGUGAAAGGCAAUAGCUUAACUAUUGUAAGCCUUUGGAACUGUCGAACUUGAGUGCAGGAGAGGAAAGUGGAAUUCCUAGUGUAGCGGUGAAAUGCGUAGAUAUUAGGAGGAACACCAGUGGCGAAGGCGACUUUCUGGACUGUAACUGACGCUGAGGCUCGAAAGCGUGGGGAGCGAACA
rnacentral:rRNA from 1 species